GACGAACGCUGGCGGCGUGCUUAACACAUGCAAGUCGAACGGAAAGGCCCUGCUUUUGUGGGGUGCUCGAGUGGCGAACGGGUGAGUAACACGUGAGUAACCUGCCCUUGACUUUGGGAUAACUUCAGGAAACUGGGGCUAAUACCGGAUAGGAGCUCCUGCAGCAUGGUGGGGGUUGGAAAGUUUCGGCGGUUGGGGAUGGACUCGCGGCUUAUCCGCUUGUUGGUGGGGUAGUGGCUUACCAAGGCUUUGACGGGUAGCCGGCCUGAGAGGGUGACCGGCCACAUUGGGACUGAGAUACGGCCCAGACUCCUACGGGAGGCAGCAGUGGGGAAUAUUGCACAAUGGGCGGAAGCCUGAUGCAGCAACGCCGCGUGCGGGAUGACGGCCUUCGGGUUGUAAACCGCUUUCGCCUGUGACGAAGCGUGAGUGACGGUAAUGGGUAAAGAAGCACCGGCUAACUACGUGCCAGCAGCCGCGGUGAUACGUAGGGUGCGAGCGUUGUCCGGAUUUAUUGGGCGUAAAGGGCUCGUAGGUGGUUGAUCGCGUCGGAAGUGUAAUCUUGGGGCUUAACCCUGAGCGUGCUUUCGAUACGGGUUGACUUGAGGAAGGUAGGGGAGAAUGGAAUUCCUGGUGGAGCGGUGGAAUGCGCAGAUAUCAGGAGGAACACCAGUGGCGAAGGCGGUUCUCUGGGCCUUUCCUGACGCUGAGGAGCGAAAGCGUGGGGAGCGAACAGGCUUAGAUACCCUGGUAGUCCACGCUGUAAACGGUGGGUACUAGGUGUGGGGUCCAUUCCACGGGUUCCGUGCCGUAGCUAACGCUUUAAGUACCCCGCCUGGGGAGUACGGCCGCAAGGCUAAAACUCAAAGGAAUUGACGGGGCCCCGCACAAGCGGCGGAGCAUGCGGAUUAAUUCGAUGCAACGCGUAGAACCUUACCUGGGUUUGACAUGGAUCGGGAGCGCUCAGAGAUGGGUGUGCCUCUUUUGGGGUCGGUUCACAGGUGGUGCAUGGCUGUCGUCAGCUCGUGUCGUGAGAUGUUGGGUUAAGUCCCGCAACGAGCGCAACCCUUGUUCACUGUUGCCAGCACGUUAUGGUGGGGACUCAGUGGAGACCGCCGGGGUCAACUCGGAGGAAGGUGGGGAUGACGUCAAGUCAUCAUGCCCCUUAUGUCCAGGGCUUCACGCAUGCUACAAUGGCUGGUACAGAGAGUGGCGAGCCUGUGAGGGUGAGCGAAUCUCGGAAAGCCGGUCUCAGUUCGGAUUGGGGUCUGCAACUCGACCUCAUGAAGUCGGAGUCGCUAGUAAUCGCAGAUCAGCAACGCUGCGGUGAAUACGUUCCCGGG
rnacentral:rRNA from 1 species